AAUAAUUGAGACAUUAAUUAUUUACUUUUUUUAUAUAUAUAUUUUGUUAGUGUAAAUCUACUAUCUUCUAUUUAUAAUGAUUCAGUUGCAUGAACUAGCACGAUAUCCGUAUAUUUGCACAGAUAAAUAUAUUAGAUAUAAUGAUAAAUUUGAAAAAAAAAACUACUUAAUUGUAAAAUGUAUUUAGAUUCAUUCUUCUUUUCUACUUUUACUUUUGACUAUACAACAAAAGAGACUUUUUU
rnacentral:lncRNA from 1 species